rnacentral:rRNA from 1 species
GGGUGAAGGAACUAGGCAAAAUGGUACCGUAACUUCGGGAGAAGGUACGCUCUUGAUGGUGAAGUCCCUUGCGGAUGGAGCUGACGAGAGUCGCAGAUACCAGGUGGCUGCAACUGUUUAUUAAAAACACAGCACUGUGCAAAAUCGUAAGAUGACGUAUACGGUGUGACGCCUGCCCGGUGCCGGAAGGUUAAUUGAUGGGGUUAGACUUCGGUCGAAGCUCUUGAUCGAAGCCCCGGUAAACG